UACGUAGGUGGCGAGCGUUGUCCGGAUUUACUGGGCGUAAAGGGAGCGUAGGCGGAUUUUUAAGUGAGAUGUGAAAUACUCGGGCUCAACUUGAGUGCUGCAUUUCAAACUGGAAGUCUAGAGUGCAGGAGAGGAGAAUGGACUUCCUAGUGUAGCGGUGAAAUGCGUAGAGAUUAGGAAGAACACCAGUGGCGAAGGCGAUUCUCUGGACUGUAACUGACGCUGAGGCUCGAAAGCGUGGGGAGCAAACAGG
rnacentral:rRNA from 1 species